GGAAGGAUCAUUAUUGAAUGAACUUGGUGUGGUUGUUGCUGGCCCUCUCGGGGGCAUGUGCACACCCACCAUCCUCAUCUCUCCACCUGUGCACCUCUUGUAGACCUGGAUAGACUUUCCGAGGCAACUCGGUCGGGAAGAUUGCUGCGCUCUGUGAGCCAGCUUUCUUUGCAUGUCCAGGCCUAUGUUUUUCAUAUACCCCUAUAGAAUGUAACAGAAUGUAUCAUUGGGCCUUGUGCCUAUAAACCUUAUACAACUUUCAGCAACGGAUCUCUUGGCUCUCGCAUCGAUGAAGAACGCAGCGAAAUGCGAUAAGUAAUGUGAAUUGCAGAAUUCAGUGAAUCAUCGAAUCUUUGAACGCACCUUGCGCUCCUUGGUAUUCCGAGGAGCAUGCCUGUUUGAGUGUCAUUAAAUUCUCAACCUUAUUAGCUUUUGUUGAUAAUGGAUUGGAUGUGGGGGUUUAUUUGCUGGCUUCUUCACAGAGAUCAGCUCCCCUUAAAUGCAUUAGCUGGUGCCCCGCGUGGACCAUCUAUUGGUGUGAUAAUUAUCUACGCCGUGGAUGUCUGCAAUCAUAUGGGUUUUGCACUGCUUCUAACCGUCUGUUCAUUCGGACAAUACAUGACAAUUUGACCUCAAAUCAGGUAGGACUACCCGCUGAACUUAAGCAUAUCAAUAAGCGGAGGAAAAGAAACUAACAAGGAUUCCCCUAGUAACUGCGAGUGAAGCGGGAAAAGCUCAAAUUUAAAAUCUGGCGGUCUCCGGCCGUCCGAGUUGUAAUCUAGAGAAGUGUUAUCCGCGCUGGACCGUGUACAAGUCUCCUGGAAUGGAGCGUCAUAGAGGGUGAGAAUCCCGUCUUUGACACGGACUGCCAGGGCUUUGUGAUGCGCUCUCAAAGAGUC
rnacentral:rRNA from 1 species